UACGUAGGGUGCAAGCGUUAAUCGGAAUUACUGGGCGUAAAGCGUGCGCAGGCGGUUAUGUAAGACAGUUGUGAAAUCCCCGGGCUCAACCUGGGAACUGCAUCUGUGACUGCAUAGCUAGAGUACGGUAGAGGGGGAUGGAAUUCCGCGUGUAGCAGCGAAAUGCGUAGAUAUGCGGAGGAACACCGAUGGCGAAGGCAAUCCCCUGGACCUGUACUGACGCUCAUGCACGAAAGCGUGGGGAGCAAACAGG
rnacentral:rRNA from 1 species